CUGUCUCAAAAACAAAAAACAAGAGACAGCGCCGGGGCAAGUGAGAGCCGGACGGGCACUGGGCGACUCUGUGCCUCGCUGAGGAAAAUAACUAAACAUGGGCAAAGGAGAUCCUAAGAAGCCGAGAGGCAAAAUGUCAUCAUAUGCAUUUUUUGUGCAAACUUGUCGGGAGGAGCAUAAGAAGAAGCACCCAGAUGCUUCAGUCAACUUCUCAGAGUUUUCUAAGAAGUGCUCAGAGAGGUGGAAGACCAUGUCUGCUAAAGAGAAAGGAAAAUUUGAAGAUAUGGCAAAGGCGGACAAGGCCCGUUAUGAAAGAGAAAUGAAAACCUAUAUCCCUCCCAAAGGGGAGACAAAAAAGAAGUUCAAGGAUCCCAAUGCACCCAAGAGGCCUCCUUCGGCCUUCUUCCUGUUCUGCUCUGAGUAUCGCCCAAAAAUCAAAGGAGAACAUCCUGGCCUGUCCAUUGGUGAUGUUGCGAAGAAACUGGGAGAGAUGUGGAAUAACACUGCUGCAGAUGACAAGCAGCCUUAUGAAAAGAAGGCUGCGAAGCUGAAGGAAAAAUACGAAAAGGAUAUUGCUGCAUAUCGAGCUAAAGGAAAGCCUGAUGCAGCAAAUAAGGGAGUUGUCAAGGCUGAAAAAAGCAAGAAAAAGAAGGAAGAGGAGGAAGAUGAGGAAGAUGAAGAGGAUGAGGAGGAGGAGGAAGAUGAAGAAGAUGAAGAUGAAGAAGAAGAUGAUGAUGAUGAAUAAGUUGGUUCUAGCGCAGUUUUUUUUUCUUGUCUAUAAAGCAUUUAACCCCCCUGUACACAACUCACUCCUUUUAAAGAAAAAAAUUGAAAUGUAAGGCUGUGUAAGAUUUGUUUUUAAACUGUACAGUGUCUUUUUUUGUAUAGUUAACACACUACCGAAUGUGUCUUUAGAUAGCCUUGUCCUGGUGGUAUUUUCAAUAGCCACUAACCUUGCCUGGUACAGUAUGGGGGUUGUAAAUUGGCAUGGAAAUUUAAAGCAGGUUCUUGUUGGUGCACAGCACAAAUUAGUUAUAUAUGGGGAUGGUAGUUUUUUCAUCUUCAGUUGUCUCUGAUGCAGCUUAUACGAAAUAAUUGUUGUUCUGUUAACUGAAUACCACUCUGUAAUUGCAAAAAAAAAAAAAAAAA